GGAGUUGUGCCUGAGCGCCCAAGGACCACUUUGAUAGAGUGACUAACGGGGGUUAAAAUCCCCCCAACUCCU
rnacentral:tRNA from 1 species